rnacentral:lncRNA from 1 species
CAACUGUACUUUAGGCGGACGUGGAAAGGCAGACUCAUAGCUGGGCUUUUAUUUUGGGUUCUGUGGCCCAGAAGCCCGGGGGGUGAAGGAGUGGCGAUGGAGGCCGGACGGGAAACUCCGAGCCCUUUCCGGAAGCUGCCCCGCCCCCUGGGUGAGUGUCAGCUCCCACGCACUACAAUUCCCAGCAUGCUAUUCGAGCAAGUCCGGAGGCGGAGCCAAAGUGUCGCCAUAGCAACUGAGUCCACUCCCUCUCCCGGAUGUCUCCAGAAUUUCGAAUUGAGUUAAGAUGAACAGAAGUCAAAAGAAAAGAAGAUGGGAAACACUGAGGAAAUUAAAUGUCAUUUAAAUUGUCAACGUUUGUUUACCUGAGACUGUAACUGAGGGAGAAGGAAGAGGGUCAGAAUUGAGUUACAAGAAGUAGCUUCAUACCAUUUCUAUCUUUAAAGGAUCAAACUUGAUAAGGACUCUAGAAUGUUUCCUUGACCAUCUGAGGAAGGGGAAUUUGGCCUCUAAGUCUCCUCUGUCACACUAGAGUUUAGGCACUUAAUGAUCAGCUGGUAAUCAUCAGGCAUUGGGGAAACUAAAAUGAACAUGCCUGACUAAAUCUUAUGACUUUAAUUCCAGAAUGUUAAAUCUUUUAAAAUAAACAGAAUAUUACAGCUACAUUAAGCCUUUCCUAUAUGAAGUCAGGCAUAGAGAUUUCCCAUAUGAAGUCAGGCAUAGAGAUUUCCCAAUAAAGUAUUUUAGAAGUUUCCCAGAUACUAUUAAGGCCCUUGACAGAGUAACGUGCAGAAUGAUGUCAGACUUGUCAAAUGUUUUGAUAAAACAGGACCUUCGGAUGCAAUGAUAAAUUUGGCCAUUGUAUAAAUCCGUCAAGAGUUUUUGAAAAACUGUGUAAACUGAAGAUGGCAGAGCAUAUUCCACCUCAUUAACAAAAGAAAACAGUAAGCAGUGUUCUCUGUUGCCAUCAUGUUACUACCCUGCUCAAAAGCCUCCUGUCUAUCCCUAUUUCUUAGAGAAGCAUCUCCCCAAAUCUGUGCGUGGAACACUGGUAUUCUGUAAGACGGUAAUAGAUCUUACUGAAAAAUAGAUGCCUGUGGAAAAAUGUUUUUCUAAAAUGUAUUUUAAGAUCAGUCUAUGUUAGGAAACUUCUAAACAUUUUAAAGAAAUUAUUAACAUGGGAUAAUCUUUGUUUAAGAAAUGGAGUGCCAACUUCUGUGCAUACAACGUGACUUUUAAAAAGUUAAAAACAACAGAGGCUGGAGAGGUUACAUGCCACACAUAUAACAGACAAGAUUGGAUCCAGAAUAUAUAAAAAAUGUGGACAAAAAAUAUGAACAGGUAAUUCACAAAAGAGAAAAUAUAAAUGAUCAACAAACACAUGAUGUUCAAAUCACC